rnacentral:rRNA from 1 species
UUGCCUACGGGUGGCUGCAGUGGGGAAUAUUGGACAAUGGGCGCAAGCCUGAUCCAGCCAUGCCGCGUGAGUGAUGAAGGCCCUAGGGUUGUAAAGCUCUUUCGACGGGGAAGAUAAUGACGGUACCCGUAGAAGAAGCCCCGGCUAACUUCGUGCCAGCAGCCGCGGUAAUACGAAGGGGGCUAGCGUUGCUCGGAAUGACUGGGCGUAAAGCGCACGUAGGCGGAUCGUUAAGUCGGGGGUGAAAUCCUGGAGCUCAACUCCAGAACUGCCUUCGAUACUGGCGAUCUCGAGUCCGGGAGAGGUGAGUGGAACUCCGAGUGUAGAGGUGAAAUUCGUAGAUAUUCGGAAGAACACCAGUGGCGAAGGCGGCUCACUGGCCCGGUACUGACGCUGAGGUGCGAAAGCGUGGGGAGCAAACAGGAUUAGAUACCCGGGUAGUC